rnacentral:rRNA from 1 species
GAUCCUGGCUCAGGAUGAACGCUGGCGGCGUGCCUAACACAUGCAAGUCGAGCGAGAAGCUUGUGACGGACGCUUCGGUUGAAGUCACGAGUGGAAAGCGGCGGACGGGUGAGUAACGCGUAGGCAACCUGCCCUUUGCAGAGGGAUAGCCUCGGGAAACCGGGAUUAAAACCUCAUAAUACCGUAGUGAGACAUCUCACGGCGGUCAAAGAUUUAUCGGCAAAGGAUGGGCCUGCGU